rnacentral:rRNA from 1 species
GAUUAGAUACCGUCGUAGUCUUAACUAUAAACUAUGCCGACCAGGGAUAUGAGUUGUUAUGAAUGACUUUUAGUUAUUCAAUUUCCUCUUGUGGACCUUGUGAGAAAUCAUAAGUUUUUGGGUUCUGGGGGGAGUAUGGUCGCAAGGCUGAAACUUAAAGGAAUUGACGGAGGGGCACCACCAGGAGUGGAGCGUGCGGCUUAAUUUGACUCAACACGGGAAAACUUACCAGGUCCAGACAUUAGAAGGAUUGACAGAUUGAUAGCUCUUUCAUGAUUUAAUGGGUGGUGGUGCAUGGCCGUUCUUAGUUGGUGGAGUGAUUUGUCUGGUUAAUUCCGAUAACGAACGAGACCUUUACCAUACUAAAUAGUUUGAUUUAUUCAUUUAUGAAUAGAUUUACAUAUUAUAAACCUCUUAGAGGGACUAUUGGUUCUUAAACCAAAGGAAGUAAAGGCGAUAACAGGUCUGUGAUGCCCUUAGAUGUUCUGGGCUGCACGCGCGCUACAAUGAUAAACUCAACGAGUAUUUAAUAUUUAUUUAUUAUAUUGCUGUAUUGGAAAGUAUGGCUAAUCUUAAACGUUUAUCGUGCUUGGGAUAGAUGAUUGCAAUUAUUUAUCUUGAACCAGGAAUUCCUAGUAAUCGUAUAUCAUCAGUGUGCGAUGAUUACGUCCCUGCCCCUUGUACACACCGCCCGUCGCUGCUACCGAUUGGAUGAUCCGGUGAAAUCCUCGGAUAAUGAUAAAUACUUUACUUUGUAAAGUUUAUCGUUAGAAGUUGAUUAAACCUUAUCAUCUAGAGGAAGCAAAAGUCGUAACAAGGUUUCCGUAGGUGAACCUGCAGAAGGAUCA